UACGUAGGGUGCAGGCGUUAAUCGGAAUUACUGGGCGUAAAGCGUGCGCAGGCGGUCUUUUAAGUCAGAUGUGAAAUCCCCGGGCUUAACCUGGGAACCGCAUUUGUGACUGCAUAGCUGGAGUACGGCAGAGGGGGAUGGAAUUCCGCGUGUAGCAGUGAAAUGCGUAGAUAUGCGGAGGAACACCGAUGGCGAAGGCAGUCCCCUGGGCCUGUACUGACGCUCAUGCACGAAAGCGUGGGGAGCAAACAGG
rnacentral:rRNA from 1 species